rnacentral:rRNA from 1 species
CCUACGGGUGGCAGCAGUGAGGAAUAUUGGUCAAUGGUCGAGAGCCUGAACCAGCCAAGUCGCGUGAGGGAGUACUGCCCUAUGGGUUGUAAACCUCUUUUGUCGGGGAGCAAAAGCCGGACGUGUCCGGCUGUGAGAGUACCCGAAGAAAAAGCAUCGGCUAACUCCGUGCCAGCAGCCGCGGUAAUACGGAGGAUGCGAGCGUUAUCCGGAUUUAUUGGGUUUAAAGGGUGCGCAGGCGGAUUUUUAAGUCAGCGGUAAAAUCGUGGGGCUCAACCCCAUCCAGCCGUUGAAACUGGGGAUCUAGAGUGUGCGAGAGGUAUGCGGAAUGCGUGGUGUAGCGGUGAAAUGCAUAGAUAUCACGCAGAACCCCGAUUGCGAAGGCAGCAUACCGGUGCACAACUGACGCUCAGGCACGAAAGCGUGGGUAUCGAACAGGAUUAGAUACCCGGGUAGUC